rnacentral:rRNA from 1 species
GAUGAACGCUGGCGGCGUGCCUAAUACAUGCAAGUCGAGCGAACAGACGAGGAGCUUGCUCCUCUGACGUUAGCGGCGGACGGGUGAGUAACACGUGGAUAACCGACCUAUAAGACUGGGAUAACUUCGGGAAACCGGAGCUAAUACCGGAUAAUAUAUUGAACCGCAUGGUUCAAUAGUGAAAGACGGUUUUGCUGUCACUUAUAGAUGGAUCCGCGCCGCAUUAGCUAGUUGGUAAGGUAACGGCUUACAAAGGCAACGAUGCGUAGCCGACCUGAGAGGGUGAUCGGCCACACUGGAACUGAGACACGGUCCAGACUCCUACGGGAGGCAGCAGUAGGGAAUCUUCCGCAAUGGGCGAAAGCCUGACGGAGCAACGCCGCGUGAGUGAUGAAGGUCUUCGGAUCGUAAAACUCUGUUAUUAGGGAAGAACAAAUGUGUAAGUAACUAUGCACGUCUUGACGGUACCUAAUCAGAAAGCCACGGCUAACUACGUG